GAAGAUAAAAAACAAUUCUUUGGGCCAUCAUUCCAUUGGGCGGACCAAGGAAUUGUAGUGGUCGGAGGAGCAACGUCGAACUAUUCUCGCCGAACCGCUAACGUUCACCGAAACCCUAGCAAACAAAACCCACCCCUCAUUAGUUCGUCAGCUAAGGCGCUUCAGAUCAAUCUCGACAUCUCAGCCUGUAAAAUGUAUGGAGCUGAAGCAGUUACCGACGAUUCAGAUCGAACCGCUUUCAGAAAAGCAGAGAAGAAGUACAAGCUCUAUUAUGAUCAAAACCCUAAAUCUUCCAAAAAGAAGAAGGAACCCAGAGCAGUUGAUUUGUCAGAGGUUAUUGAUUUCAAGUCCAUUCUCGACUCAUUCAACCGCAAUGGUGAACUCCCUCCCGGAGUUUCCAUGCUUUCGUGUGAUUUUGAUCAACCCAUCUUUUCCUUGGAGAGUCGCCCAGGGUUUUAUUUUCUUCCAGGGGCAAUCAGUGUUGAGGAACAAUCCCACUGGAUUAGGGAGAGCUUAACAAGUUUCCCACAGCCUCCUAAUAGAACAAACCAUAAUGCAAUUUAUGGGCCUGUAUGUGAUUUAUUUCCUGCUGCUGGAGAAGGAAAAAUUUUAGUUGAAGAGGGUUGUCCCAGCGCAGAUAGGGUUUCUGAGUCUAAUUCUUUGGAUAACAGUGUAGAAGGUCCUAGAUGGAAAUUUUAUGAGGAAUCUGUUGCAUCAGCAAGAGCAAACACAUCGAAAUCAAUACCAGCAUCUCUUUUGCUGCGGAAGUUACGGUGGAGUACCCUGGGCCUACAAUUUGACUGGUCUAAGCGGAAUUAUGAUAUUUAUCUUCCUCACAGCAAGAUCCCUCAAGCACUUUGUCAACUGGCCCAAAGAAUGGCAAUUCCUGCAAUGCCGGUUGGGGAAAACUUCCUGCCAGAAGCUGCUAUAGUGAAUUACUUUGGCUUAGGUGAUACACUCGGGGGUCACCUUGAUGACAUGGAAGCCGAUUGGAGUAAACCUAUUGUGAGCAUGAGUUUGGGCUGCAAAGCUAUUUUCCUUCUUGGAGGGAAGUCUAGACAGGUUCUUCCCCUGGCAAUGUUCCUUCGGAGUGGUGAUGUUGUAUUAAUGGCUGGAGAAGCAAGGGAAUGUUUUCACGUGGUGGUUGAUCGAAAAAUUCACAUGGAUUCAAAAUAAAUGGGUCAUCCCACUAUCUGGCACAUUCAUUCUCAAGUGCAGAAAGUGAUUAUAAAAAAAAAAAGACCACAAAUAAAAAAUUACAACGAUUGUCUUGUGAAUGAAGUAUGAGGAUUGAGUUCGACACUUGAGCCCACCAAUGUUGAGCCGGAAACGGAUUUUUGGAGGUCCUUUAACCCUUAACACUCGGUCGGAGAGUACGUAUUCAAAUUUGGGGAUGAAGGGGGUGACGAGGAUGAGGAGGCUUGUGACGAGGAGGAGCCUAUACAUGGCCAUGGAGAUGAGCAGAGAAGGGAGGAGGAGGUUAUACAUAAAGAGACAGAUAAAGAAGGUAGACAGGAGACAUGACUCCUUGACAGUCCACAACAUGGACCAAAUGAGCACGGGAUCACCAAGAUGCUAGUUCAAACGUUGGAGAUGUUGAGGAGGGUAGACAAGGAAAUAAGUCUAAUGAGGACAGAAAUGGUUGAAAUGAGGACACAUUUUGACCGAGAAAUGGGUCAAAUAAGGACACAUUUUGACAUAGAAAUAGGUCAAAUGAGUGCCCAAUUAUUGCAACUAGAGAGGGCGCAAUGCAAUCUGCAUAUUGACUAGAGAUGUCAAAAUGGGCCCGGCCCGAGAUCGGGCUAGGGCCAGCAUUUUGCUGGCCCAUUUAAGGCCGGGCCGAUUUGGCCCGGCGGGCCAAAUGGUGGCGGGCCAGGCUGGCCCGCUAAUCGGCCACAAACCCCCUCCCUCAGCCUCGCCUCUCGCCCUCGCCCUCGCCCUUGCCUGCGCCCCUCACUCGCCCUCGUCUCGCCCGGGCCCCUCGCUCUCGCCCUCGCCCUCGCCCCUCGCCCUCGCCGUCGCUCGCGCCCCUCACUCUCGCCCUCGCCCUCGCCCUCGCCCUCGUCCUCACUCGCGCCCCUCGCUCGCCCUCUGUCUCGCCCUCGCCCUCGCCCUCGCCCUCUGUCUCGCCCGCGCCCGCGCCCCUCGCUCUCGCCCUCGCCCCUCAGUCGCCCUCGCUCACCCUCUGUCGCCCGCGCCCCUCGCUCUCAGUCUUGCCCCUCGCCCUCUCUCGCUCACGCUGCCUGCCUCUGGGCCAAAAAUGGUAUAAAAAAAAAAAAAAAUUUGGGCGGGCCCGUGUAGGGCCGGGCUAGGGCUAGCAAUCUGUUGGCUCGUUUUUAAGCGGGCCGAUUUGGCCUGGCCCGGCCUGUUUGCCAUCUCUAAUAUUGACCAUUCCCCAGUUCACAUCGAUGAUGGGGAUGAGCAGCACCAAUGUGGUGAUCAGAUAUAUGCUAGUCAUCUCGAUGACGAAGACGAGGCAUCUACAUCUGUAGUAGGUUCUAAAUUUAUAAGUUUACAUAUUAGAAUCUGAAGUACAAUAUUGUAAUAGUUAGUUUAUAUACAGUUGCAGGAAAAGGACAUGGUUAGGUCGGCAAGCGACCUGUGUGAGACAAAAAAAAAAAUCGCAAUUUUGUAAGACACCUUUCACUUAUCCUAUCGGACCAAAGAAGAGAAAGAUGGAUGUCGCGGUGGAGGGGUCGAACCUAGUGCCACAAGUGGGGUAGGAUAAUCUUAACCCCCUAAGGGUUACACUGAGUUCAUAGCCUCCAAAGAAAACAUUUUGUAAGUAAUUAGUACCAUAUAGAAUUACAUUAACAAUACAUUCUCACAUUUACAAAUUCUAAUUUUUGGUUAUUGUAGUCGUGAUACCGGGUACAUUGAAUAUCUAUCCUCGGCUGACUUCCGGUGCAUAGAGGACAUGAGCGAAUGGUUGGACGGGCGUCACAUUGAUAGUUAUAUGUGUUGCCUCAUCCAACCAUUCACUCAUGUCCUCUGUGUACCGGAAGUCAAUCGGGGAUAGAUAUUCAAGGUACUCGGUGUCACGACUACAAUAACCAAGAAUUAUAAUUUGUAAAUGUAAGAACGUAUUGUUAAUUUAAUUCUAUAUGGUGCUAGUUAUUUACAAAAUGUUUUCUUUGGAGGCGAUGAACUCAGUGUCACCCUCAAGGGGGUUAAGAUUAUUGUACCCCACUUGUGGCACUGGGUCCGACCCCUCUACCGCGACAUUCAUCUUUCUCUUUUUUGGUCGGAUAGGAUCAGUAAAAGGUGUCUUAUAAAAUUGCGAUUUUUUUUUGGCUCGCACAGGUCACUUGCCAACCUAACCACAUCCUUUUCCUGCAACUGUACAUAAACUAACUAUUACAAUAUUGUACUUCAGAUUCUGAUAUGUAAACGUAUAAAUUUUGAACUUACUACAGAUGUAGAUCCUCCUCAUCGUGAUGAUUAGGAUAUAUCUGAUCACCACCUUGGUGCUGCUUAUCGCCAUCAUCGAUGUGAACUGGGGAAUGGUCAAUAUGCGGACUACGUUGCGCCCUCUCUAGUUGCAGCAAUUGGGCACUCAUUUGACCUAUUUCUAUAUCCUUAUUUGACCUAUUUUUCGGUCAAAAUGUGUCCUCAUUUCAACCAUUUCUGUCCUCAUUUGACUUAUUUCCUCGUCUAUCGUCUUCAACAUCUCCAACGUUUAGCAUCUUGGUAAUUUGCAAAAGGCGAACACACAAAUUUUUAAACAUUAAAAAUAAUUGCAAAAAAAAAUAAAAAUCAUUAUUAUAAUAAUAGUAAUCAUAUCCCGUGCUUGGUCAAGGAGUCUUGUCUCCUGCCUAUCUUCUUUAUCUGUCUCUUUAUGUACAACCUCCUCCUUCCUUCUCUGCUCAUCUCCAUGGCCAUGUAUAGGCUCCUCGUCACCACCCUCCUCAUCCUCGUCACCCCCAAAUUUGAAUACGUACUCUCUGACUGAGUGCUGAGGGUUAAAGGACCUCCAAAAAUCCGUUUCCCGCUCAGCAUUGGUGGGCUCAAGUGUUGGACUCAAUCCUCAUACCUACAACAUAGUAUUAUUUAGAUAGAUAUUACCUAAAACAAAAAUAAAUAAAAUUUAGGUUAAGUCGCACACUUACUUCAUUCGUGAGACAAUCGUUGUAAUUUUUUAUUUGUGGCCUUUUUUUUUAUAAUCACUUUUUGCACUUGGGAAUGAAUGCACUCGAUAGUGGGAUGACCCAUUUAUUUUGAAUCCAUGUGAAUUUUUCGAUCAACCACCACUAUAGAGAAGAGAGUAAAAAAAAUUUAUAAUAGAAAACAAAACAAAUAUUUAGUUAGUAUAGACAAAUCAUAUACAAUAUUAUAAUAUAAAACAAUACGAAGAGAGUAAUUUGUACUUGAAAUGUCCACACAAAACCAUAAAUGUUUACUUUUUUCCCAACUCCACCACUCAACUUGUCCUCGCUCGUGGCCAUUCGAAUGUAAUGUUGACUCUUACUGUACACGUAUGUCCCCCAAGGGAAGGUCUCAAAUGCAUCUAAAUCCUCAGUCAUAGUCCACAAAAAAUCAUCCACGCGUGCACGCUCAUCUAGGCCCAACAAUAACAAGUUAACCAUAACAACGUAAACCAAUCUCAGGACAUCAUCUGAAACUGGGUCCUCUUUGUUAUUAAGUAGGGUUUUGAUGUCGUCUCUAGACACUCCUUUCUGGUGUUGUGGAAAUAGUCGCGCAUGUAAAUUAUUCAGCGCACUAGGACUCAUUUCAAGGAUUUCUUUAUCAAUUGCCCCAAAUCGAAGUCCGAUAAUAAGUAUGAACUCCUGCUUCCCGUACCUAUAUGUCAUGCCACCGAUCUCGAACCACAUUUCAUCGUGGCGGGCACCCAGGAAUGUCACCUCCCUAACCAGAACAUUAUAUAUCAAUUGCGGUGCAGUCAAAUGGAGUGCUGAAGGGGUUUUUAAGAAAUGUCCUAAUGGGCCCUCUAGGAAUCUAUCCAAUAGCUCAUAUCGGUUUAGAGCAAUCCUCAUUGUCUCAAGGUGUUUGAUCCUGCAAUGAGUAGUAACCCGUGUUCCAGACGGUAUUACUCGGUGUGCCCAGAAUCUUCACAGACGAGGAAAAUGCUGAAAUUAGCCCUCUGGAGCGACACUUGUCAGACCAAAAUGAUCUUGCCUUGCUGGAAUACAUUAGAACAUCAAGAAUCAAUAUCAAUAUCAGACAAGUCUUUUAGCUG